rnacentral:rRNA from 1 species
AAGGUACCCCGGGGAUAACAGGCUGAUCUUCCCCAAGAGUCCAUAUCGACGGGAUGGUUUGGCACCUCGAUGUCGGCUCGUCGCAUCCUGGGGCUGGAGUCGGUCCCAAGGGUUGGGCUGUUCGCCCAUUAAAGCGGUACGCGAGCUGGGUUUAGAACGUCGUGAGACAGUUCGGUCCCUAUCCGCUGUGCGCGUAGGAGUCUUGAGAAGGGCUGUCCCUAGUACGAGAGGACCGGGACGGACGAACCUCUGGUGUGCCAGUUGUUCUGCCAAGGGCAUGGCUGGUUGGCUACGUUCGGGAGGGAUAACCGCUGAAAGCAUCUAAGCGGGAAGCCUGCUUCGAGAUGAGGACUCCCACCCACUUGAUGGGGUAAGGCUCCCAGUAGACGACUGGGUUGAUAGGCCGGAUAUGGAAGCACGGUAACGUGUGGAGUUGACCGGUACUAAUAGGCCGAGGGCUUGUCCUCAGUUG